rnacentral:rRNA from 1 species
GUAGGGACCAAGCGUUGUUCGGAUUUACUGGGCGUAAAGGGCGCGUAGGCGGCAUAUUAAGUCAGCUGUGAAAUCUCCGAGCUUAACUCGGAACUGUCAGCUGAUACUGAUGUGCUAGAGUGCAGAAGGGGCAAUCGGAAUUCUUGGUGUAGCGGUGAAAUGCGUAGAUAUCAAGAGGAACACCUGAGGUGAAGACGGGUUGCUGGGCUGACACUGACGCUGAGUGCGCGAAAGCCAGGGGAGCAAACGGGAUUAGAUACCCCGGUAGUCCUGGCCCUAAACGAUGAAUACUUGGUGUCUGGAGUUAUUAGUGCUCCGGGUGCCGUCGCUAACGUUUUUAGUAUUCCGCCUGGGGAGUACGCUCGCAAGAGUG